rnacentral:rRNA from 1 species
GUACGUAAGUUGUUGCAGUUAAAAAGCUCGUAGUUGGAUCUCAGGCUUGUGGCCGGUGGUCCGCUCGAUACGGGUGUGCACUGCCGUGUCCGGCCUACGUCUGGUCUAACGUCCAUAGUGCCCUUAACCGGGUGCUAUGGAAUGCCAGAAAGUUUACUCUGAAAAAAUUAGAGUGCUCAAAGCAAGCCGUUUGUGCUUGAAUACUGUUGCAUGGAAUAAUGGAAUAGGACCUCGGUUCUAUUUUGUUGGUUUUCGGAGUCGAGGUAAUGAUUAAGAGGGACAGACGGGGGCAUUCGUAUUGCGCCGUUAGAGGUGAAAUUCUUGGAUCGGCGCAAGACGAACAACUGCGAAAGCAUUUGCCAAGGAUGUUUUCAUUAAUCAAGAACGAAAGUCAGAGGUUCGAAGACGAUCAGAUACCGUCGUAGUUCUGACCAUAAACGAUGCCAACUGGCGAUCCGCCGCAGUCUGGCUUAAAGGACUCGGCGGGCAGCCUCCGGGAAACCUAAGUCUAUGGGUUCCGGGGGAAGUAUGGUUGCAAAGCUGAAACUUAAAGGAAUUGACGGAAGGGCACCACCAGGAGUGGAGCCUGCGGCUUAAUUUGACUCAACACGGGAAAACUCACCCGGCCAGGACACCGU